rnacentral:rRNA from 1 species
GACGGGGACCCGCACAAGCGGUGGAUGAUGUGGAUUAAUUCGAUGCAACGCGAAAACCUUACCUACCCUUGACAUGUCUGGAACCUUGCUGAGAGGCGAGGGUGCCUUCGGGAGCCAGAACACAGGUGCCGCAUGGCUGUCGUCAGCUCGUGUCGUGAGAUGUUGGGUUAAGUCCCGCAACGAGCGCAACCCUUGUCAUUAGUUGCCAUCAUUUAGUUGGGCACUCUAAUGAGACUGCCGGUGACAAGCCGGAGGAAGGUGGGGAUGACGUCAAGUCCUCAUGGCCCUUAUGGGUAGGGCUUCACACGUCAUACAAUGGUCGGUACAGAGGGUUGCCAAGCCGCGAGGUGGAGCCAAUCCCUUAAAGCCGAUCGUAGUCCGGAUCGUAGUCUGCAACUCGACUGCGUGAAGUCGGAAUCGCUAGUAAUCGUGGAUCAGAAUGUCACGGUGAAUACGUUCCCGGGUCUU